rnacentral:rRNA from 1 species
ACAAGCGGUGGAUGAUGUGGUUAAUUCGAUGCAACGCGAAAACCUUACCACCUUUGACAUGUACGGAAUCCUUUAGAGAUAGAGGAGUGCUCGAAAGAGAGCCGUAACACAGGUGCUGCAUGGCUGUCGUCAGCUCGUGUCGUGAGAUGUUGGUUAAGUCCCGCAACGAGCGCAACCCUUGUCAUUAGUUGCUACAUUCAGUUGGGCACUCUAAUGAGACUGCCGGUGACAAACCGGAGGAAGGUGGGGAUGACGUCAAGUCCUCAUGGCCCUUAUAGGUGGGGCUACACACGUCAUACAAUGGAUGGUACAAAGGGUCGCCAACCCGCGAGGGGGAGCCAAUCCCAUAAAGCCAUUCGUAGUCCGGAUCGCAGUCUGCAACUCGACUGCGUGAAGUCGGAAUCGCUAGUAAUCGUGGAUCAGAAUGUCACGGUGAAUACGUUCCCGGGUCUU